rnacentral:misc_RNA from 1 species
GCCUUUCUCGACUCUCUAUCUCAUGCGGGUGUAGAUGGAUUGUUUAUCCGAGCCGUCUUUUCUGCUGCGCCACAUUCGUCGCUGCGGCGCUGAUGAGCCAAAGCAAACUUCACAGCAAGCCACUGCAUCAACCACGGGUGCCUCUAGCGAUAGCUCGUACACCACGGAGGUUCUUCUCAAAGUGGGGGUGCCAGCAUCCUUCGCUCCCGCCGACAGCUCCUCUGGCACGGCCUCGCCAACGCAGGUUUGCUACAUGUGUCCAGCAUACAUUCUGCAAGCAGGAUGCCCAGCACUGCGCGAGUUGCUGGCUGAUGCCUUUGGGGAUGACCCUGGUGGGGUGCGUGGAGUGGGCGAAAAGGCCGGCGCGAACUCCGCUGCGGCUGCCGCGCUUCGGCCAUCGCCUCCCGUGGCGGUUCCACUUCCGUUUCUCGACAAAGGUGUCUUCGAUGUGGUAGCAGUGUACUUGGAGCAUUUCCACGCGCUCGACUACACCACCUCUGCCAGCAUCGCUGCAGCCGCAGCACACUCGUCUCCGACUUUCUUGCCCUCCCCUGCUCGCGUACCGUCCUCGCUGGAGCGGCCUCUGAACUUUCAAGACCUCUACGCCCUCUCGACGUGGGAGCAUUACUACGUCUUGUGCCAACUGCUGGGGUUAGAGCGGUCGCAGGUAGACUCCCUCCGUCUGGUCGAGUGCGGGGCGUGGGUAGAUCUUCUCGGUGGUGCCGCUGCGGUACCAUUGCCGAAAGGGGAAACGCAGAAGCAGCAGCGCCAGGUGACUGUCGCACAUGAAGUUGAGCUCUCUCAGCAGCGCGCCGAGUGUUUCUCACUCGCCAAUCGUCGACGGAUGUGGUCGCGUUUGUGCCACGUGCUGGGAGCGGCCUCGCGACUUGGGAUGCCUACCUUGCGGUUUCUAUGUGCAACGGUAGCAGCUGACAUGCUCGUAGACCUCGAUGAGGCGGGCUUAGCGCGACUAAUGCAGCCGUCUGGGGAUGGCGGCAGGGGCAGCGGUAUACCUCCCUUUACGGCCCAGGCACGCGCCCAGGUGCUGGAGCGAUUUCCGUGGCUGACGCCCCGGUAGUCGCGCGAGCAGCUCCCUGCUGCCUGUAUCUUUUCUCGCUGUCCCCCCGGCUCUGUCGGCGCACGCGCGGCGGGUGCUGAAGGACGUGGUGGCGCACACAUUUAGGAGCCACCGCAAAACAUUCAAAGCAACGCACGCGUCUCUUUUUCGUUGUACAUACAUGAGCGAAGCGAAGGGGGGUGGGCAUUCCACCUCGCCGGACGUAAGCGCAGAUCGACCGAAUAGCCGGAACAGCAUUG